CACGUAGGGCGCGAGCGUUGUCCGGAAUUAUUGGGCGUAAAGAGCUCGUAGGCGCCUGUUGCGUCCGCUGUGAAAGCCCGGGGCUCAACCCCGGGAGGCGGAUGGAUACUGCAUGGCUCGAGUACGGAAGAGGCGAGUGGAAUUCCCCGGUGUAGCGGUGAAAUGCGCAGAUAUCGGGAGGAACACCAAGGCGAAGGCAGCUCGCUGGGACGUUACUGACGCUGAGACGCGA
rnacentral:rRNA from 1 species